rnacentral:misc_RNA from 1 species
UCCAAAGCUUAUUACCAC